UGGGGAAUAUUGCACAAUGGGCGGAAGCCUGAUGCAGCAACGCCGCGUGCGGGAUGACGGCCUUCGGGUUGUAAACCGCUUUCGCCUGUGACGAAGCGUGAGUGACGGUAAUGGGUAAAGAAGCACCGGCUAACUACGUGCCAGCAGCCGCGGUGAUACGUAGGGUGCGAGCGUUGUCCGGAUUUAUUGGGCGUAAAGGGCUCGUAGGUGGUUGAUCGCGUCGGAAGUGUAAUCUUGGGGCUUAACCCUGAGCGUGCUUUCGAUACGGGUUGACUUGAGGAAGGUAGGGGAGAAUGGAAUUCCUGGUGGAGCGGUGGAAUGCGCAGAUAUCAGGAGGAACACCAGUGGCGAAGGCGGUUCUCUGGGCCUUUCCUGACGCUGAGGAGCGAAAGCGUGGGGAGCGAACAGGCUUAGAUACCCUGGUAGUCCACGCUGUAAACGGUGGGUACUAGGUGUGGGGUCCAUUCCACGGGCUCCGUGCCGUAGCUAACGCUUUAAGUACCCCGCCUGGGGAGUACGGCCGCAAGGCUA
rnacentral:rRNA from 1 species